UACGGAGGGGGCAAGCGUUAUUCGGAAUUAUUGGGCGUAAAGAGCUCGUAGGCGGUUUGUCGCGUCUGCUGUGAAAACUCGGGGCUUAACCCCGGGCCUGCAGUGGGUACGGGCAGACUAGAGUGCGGUAGGGGAGACUGGAAUUCCUGGUGUAGCGGUGAAAUGCGCAGAUAUCAGGAGGAACACCGGUGGCGAAGGCGGGUCUCUGGGCCGUGACUGACGCUGAGAAGCGAAAGCAUGGGGAGCGAACAGG
rnacentral:rRNA from 1 species